GACGUAGGGCGCAAGCGUUGUCCGGAUUUAUUGGGCGUAAAGAGCUCGUAGGCGGCUUGUUGCGUCGACCGUGAAAACCCGUGGCUCAACUGCGGGCUUGCGGUCGAUACGGGCGGGCUAGAGUUCGGUAGGGGAGACUGGAAUUUACGGUGUAGCAGUGAAAUGCGUAGAUAUCGUAAGGAAGACCAGUGGCGAAGGCGAGUCUCUGGACAGCAACUGACGCUGAGGCACGAAGGCCAGGGGAGCAAACGGG
rnacentral:rRNA from 1 species